GGCUAAAUACUACCUAGUGACCGAUAGCGUAUAGUACCGUGAGGGAAAGGUGAAAAGAACCCCGGGAGGGGAGUGAAAUAGAACCUGAAACCCUGCACUUACAAGCUGUGGAAGCACAUUUCUUGUGUGACCGCGUACUUUUUGUAGAACGGGCCAACGAGUUACGUUAAGGAGCAAGGUUAAGCACUUAAGGUGCGGAGCCGUAGCGAAAGCGAGUUUUAACUGAGCGUUCAGUUACUUGACGUAGACCCGAAACCGGGCGACCUACCCAUGAGCAGGAUGAAGCGAAAGUAAAAUUU
rnacentral:rRNA from 1 species